AAAAAAACUGGGGACGUUGACCGCGCCUACGUGGCUGCUCGCCCCUUGGGUACUAGAGCUGGAAGGUGGGCGUGAGUGUGAGCGCUGCUGAGCCCGCCGUUCUCCCACGUCGUGCACGUGUUAGGUGUUGAGACUGACAGAUUUGAAGCAAUUUGGCUGAGUUCAUGUGGGAACUGAAACUCUGGAAGGAGAAUGUGGGUCACUGUCACACUCCUUCCUCUGGACACUGUGCCUCGCAGCCAUGUGGAAUUUCUGCGGAGAAAUGACUGCCAGAGGGGCUCACAUGUAGAUCUUCAGUGAAGUUUUACUGCAGUGGGGAUCAGGACUGGGUUUGGCCCUAAGAUUUCGGGUAGCCUGGACCUGAGUCACAAGUGGCUUCAGGAAAGGACUUGGUGUGACUGCCCAAGGAUAAGGAAACAUUAACAUCCACACUUGACCUCCAGGAGGAUCCCCUUUGGAACUGUGUGGGAUUCUUUUUGAGAUUCGAACCACAGUAUUCCCAGAGUUUUGGCAACAGGAAUUGGGUGUGAACCUUAGAGAGUGUGUCCUCAGGUAAUGUGCCUGAAGUGAGGGCAGGUGUGACCCUGGAAUAGUAACUCCUAACUUCACAUGGGGUUCCAGGAAAGCCCUGCUGGGCCCCGAGUCUUUGGAGGUGGAAAAUACUGUUGCUACACACCUAAAAAUCAAGGUUUGGGGGAGUUUAAAUUUCCUUUUAGCUCAUAAGAGAUUUUGUUUUCUACCUACACUUGACCACAGCUUGUGGCAAUGCCAGAUCCUUAACCCACUGAGCAAGGCCAGGGAUUGGACCCACAUACUCAUGGAUCCUAAUGGGGUUCUUAAACCUGCUGAGCCACAACAGGAAUUCCAAAUUCACAUUUUUAACUGUAGCUCUAUGAGUUUUCAUAAAUGCAUACUGAUGCCACCAUAAUUAAAAUACAAAACACUCCAUCACCCAAAGAAAACACCCUCCUAAUGUCCAUUUGUAGACAGACUUUCUGCCCACUCAGCCCAUUCUGUUCUAGUUCCCUAUACCUUGGUUUUUCCCAGAAUGUUAUAUAACGUAGACUUUGUAAACUUGACACUGUAGUUUGAAAGUUGUGUAAUUACACUUGUCCUACAGAGCCGUGAGAUUAAAAGCUUUUGUUUGGUGCGGGUUUUGUUUUUGUUUGUUUUGCUUUUCAGGGCCACACCUGAAUCAUAUGUAAGUUCCCAGGCUAGGGGUCAAAUCAAAGCUGCAUCUGCUGGCCUAUGGCACAGCCACAGCAACAUGGUAUCUAAGCUACAUGUGAGACCUACACCACAGCUUAGAGCGAGGUGAGAUCUUUAACCCUCUGAGCAAGGCCAGGGAUUGAACUCGCAUCCUCAGGGGUACUAGUUAGGUUCUUAAACCACUGAGCCGCAACGGUAACUCCAUAGAUUUAAAAGUUUGGACAAGGAGUACCAUCACAGCUCAGUGGAAACUAAUCUGACUAGUAUCCAUGAGGAUGUAGGUUCCAUCCCUUGUCUUGCUCAGUGGGUUAAGGAUUUGGCGUUGCUGUGGCUGUGGAGCAGGCUGGCAGGUACAGCUCCGAUUCGACCCCUAGCCUGGGAACCUCCAUAUGCCACAUGUGUAGCCCUAAAAAGACAAAAAAUAAAAAGUUUUGACAGUGCCCAGUACAGCACAUGUUAGGUCUUCAAAAGAGAUUCCAUUAUUAUUAUAGGGUGCAAAAGCUUAAGCAGGACUCCACUCCUGUACUCUUCGUCAUUCAUCAAUGGGAAGGACGUUGGGGAGGGAUGAUCAUAUAAGGUACUAAUGAUUAUGAAGUGACACUCAUCUCUGCAGUGCUCUGCAAACAAGAGUUAACAUGAGAAAAUGGUCAGACUGGGUUUCAUCUGCCCUUUAAUUCAACAUGAAGCUGUUUUACAUUUUUCUCUUUCCUAAUUGUGUUGAAAGUGUAAGCAUACGGAAACAAUACCUAUGGAAAGCAAAAGGGGGCACUGUGGCUUUUGUGGAUCAUUAAAACAAAAACUUAUACUUUCUCCGCCUAUAAUAUAAAAGAGCAUGAAAAGAUUUCCCCUAUUUGAGGGUAUCUAACAAUUGGGCUGUCACUCAAAACGGUAUCCCCCAUCAGCAGGUCACUUCAGUUAUUCCUGGGAUAGUUUCUCCUCUUAUGAUCCAUAGCUCUUCUCCUAGGUUCUAGUAGGAAAUCAUAGUGGACUUGCAUAGAUGUCACUCUGCUCAUUGGAAGACUCAUGGGGGGAGUUAGCAACCUGCAGGUAACCAUAAAGCUUCCUCAAGCUGUGAGGAACUCUUUUUUGCAGAACAAAUUCUGUCAGUCGAUGUGUAGGAGCAGCAAAAUGAUAAUGCCAAAUGUUUAAGUUCUUUCACAAGGAUGUUGGACACAAACACCUACACGCUGUGGUUCAAAUCAGUAUGAAGCCUCUGGUCCCAGAUGCCAAUGUACAAUCUCACAAACACAUAUACCCUAAAAACUUGAACCACUACAAAAAUGAGACUGAACUAUGUGUAUAUCUUCUUUCUAUGGAAAAUACUGUUAAAUCCAUGAAGAGAGGAUUAUCUCUGUGUAACUGUCCACAAUUACCAACACCUUUGAACAGUCCCAGAAAUAGUGUUUAAGGCAUAUUAGAUGCUGUAAAUAUAUACAAAUUAAUGCUGAUAUCCUCAUUUACUGAGGCCGUUACUUUCAUUCAUUCUGUAUUCCUUACUCCUCCCUUAUCAUGGUAUAUAUUUUACUUAAUUCUGCUUUGGUAUUAUUCAAUAAAGUUUGUUUUCUCAAUAGGAUCUUUUUAUAUCCUUUGCUUGACUCAUUUGGUAAUUAAACUGAUAAAACUAUUAUUUUUUACUGUUAUGAAUAAUUACAUUGAUAAAAUCAUAACAAUAUGAGAAAUAAAAUUUACUAGAAAGAAAAAUGCCUAAACCUGUAUGCACCCGGUAAUACUGACUCAAAAUGUAUAAUGCUUAAAUUUACAAAGUUACAAAGUUGAUCUGACACCUCAUAGUUGCAGUAUUUUAAUAUUUUUUCAGCAAAGGAAAAACAGAGACUGAUAUUUGUUAGCAUGUAACUUAUUUGAAAACAUAGACUAUUUCUCAUCUGCUCUUUAAUAAAACACCAAGGUGUUACAUU
rnacentral:lncRNA from 1 species